UCCUAAGGCUAAAUACUCUCUAGUGACCGAUAGUGAACCAGUACCGUGAGGGAAAGGUGAAAAGCACCCCGGAAGGGGAGUGAAAUAGAACCUGAAACCGUGUGCUUACAAGUAGUCAGAGCCCGUUAAUGGGUGAUGGCGUGCCUUUUGUAGAAUGAACCGGCGAGUUACGAUUUGAUGCAAGGUUAAGCAGUAAAUGUGGAGCCGUAGCGAAAGCGAGUCUGAAUAGGGCGUUUAGUAUUUGGUCGUAGACCCGAAACCAGGUGAUCUACCCUUGGUCAGGUUGAAGUUCAGGUAACACUGAAUGGAGGACCGAACCGACUUACGUUGAAAAGUGAGCGGAUGAACUGAGGGUAGCGGAGAAAUUCCAAUCGAACCUGGAGAUAGCUGGUUCUCUCCGAAAUAGCUUUAGGGCUAGCCUCAAGUGAUGAUUAUUGGAGGUAGAGCACUGUUUGGACGAGGGGCCCCUCUCGGGUUACCGAAUUCAGACAAACUCCGAAUGCCAAUUAAUUUAACUUGGGAGUCAGAACAUGGGUGAUAAGGUCCGUGUUCGAAAGGGAAACAGCCCAGACCACCAGCUAAGGUCCCAAAAUAUAUGUUAAGUGGAAAAGGAUGUGGCGUUGCCCAGACAACUAGGAUGUUGGCUUAGAAGCAGCCAUCAUUUAAAGAGUGCGUAAUAGCUCACUAGUCGAGUGACACUGCGCCGAAAAUGUACCGGGGCUAAACAUAUUACCGAAGCUGUGGAUUGUCCUUUGGACAAUGGUAGGAGAGCGUUCUAAGGGCGUUGAAGCAUGAUCGUAAGGACAUGUGGAGCGCUUAGAAGUGAGAAUGCCGGUGUGAGUAGCGAAAGACGGGUGAGAAUCCCGUCCACCGAUUGACUAAGGUUUCCAGAGGAAGGCUCGUCCGCUCUGGGUUAGUCGGGUCCUAAGCUGAGGCCGACAGGCGUAGGCGAUGGAUAACAGGUUGAUAUUCCUGUACCACCUAUAAUCGUUUUAAUCGAUGGGGGGACGCAGUAG
rnacentral:rRNA from 2 species